GACCAAAGGCUUCGGGCGGAUUGCCGCAGGCACGUUUGCCCCAACGAUUCUGUUUGAUGUCCCUGGGGGCACCAACUGGGAUCCAAAGUCAUCUGGACCACGCCCAACUUGGGCCGUGCGGAGCGCCACCGCCGAGGCAAAGGAUGCAGCAAGGGAAGUGGUCAGAUUGCCUAGAGGUACACAGAGCACAUGCCGCCCUGGAGGAUGGGGACAGCCUGGUCAGCCUGUCCUGCUCCCAACACGGACUGAGGCCCACACUCCAGGGGACACAGGCUCAGGGCUCAUUCUGAAAACUCAAGCUACAAAUGGAGACUUGCUCAAGUCUGUAAUGCCAGCACUUUGGAAGGCCGAUGCGGGUGGAUCACCUGAGGUCAGGAGUUUGAGACCAGCCUGAUCAACAUGGUGAAAUCCCAUCUCUACUCAAAAUACAAAACUCAGCCAGGUGUGGUGGCAUGCACCUGUAAUCCUAGCUACCCAGGAGACUGAGGCAGGAGAACUGCUUGAACAUGGAAGGUGGAGGUUGUAGUGAGCCUACAUCACACCACUGUACUCCACCUGGGCAACGGAAAGCAAAUCCAUCUCAAAAAAAAAAAAAAAAAGGAGACUUGAACAUGCAGUUAGUUAAAAAAUAAAGUAAUCACAGAGUAUAGGGGGCACCAAGGUGAGGAUGCCUGCCCACCCAGCACCCUGGGCCCCACGUACCGU